rnacentral:rRNA from 1 species
UACGUAGGGACCAAGCGUUGUUCGGAUUUACUGGGCGUAAAGGGCGCGUAGGCGGCAAUUCAAGUCAGCUGUGAAAUCUCCGGGCUUAACUCGGAACGGUCAGCUGAUACUGCUUUGCUAGAGUGCAGAAGGGGCAAUCGGAAUUCUUGGUGUAGCGGUGAAAUGCGUAGAUAUCAGGAGGAACACCGGUGGCGAAGGCGGGACUCUGGGCCGAUACUGACGCUGAGGAGCGAAAGCGUGGGGAGCAAACAGG